UACGGGAGGCAGCAGUGGGGAAUAUUGCACAAUGGGCGCAAGCCUGAUGCAGCCAUGCCGCGUGUAUGAAAAAGGCCUUCGGGUUGUAAAGUACUUUCAGUCGUGAGGAAGGUGUUAAGGUUAAUAACCUUAGCAAUUGACGUUAGCGACAGAAGAAGCACCGGCUAACUCCGUGCCAGCAGCCGCGGUAAUACGGAGGGUGCGAGCGUUAAUCGGAAUUACUGGGCGUAAAGGGCACGCAGGCGGUUAAUUAAGUUGGAUGUGAAAUCCCCGGGCUUAACCUGGGAAUGGCAUUCAAGACUGGUUAGCUAGAGUCUUGUAGAGGGGGUUAGAAUUCCAUGUGUAGCGGUGAAAUGCGUAGAGAUGUGGAGGAAUACCGGUGGCGAAGGCGGCCCCUGGACAAAGGACUGACGCUCAUGUGCGAAAGCGUGGGGAGCAAA
rnacentral:rRNA from 1 species